rnacentral:rRNA from 1 species
UACGAAGGGGGCUAGCGUUGUUCGGAAUUACUGGGCGUAAAGCGUGCGCAGGCGGCUUCUCAAGUCAGGGGUGAAAGCCCAGAGCUCAACUCUGGAAUUGCCUUUGAGACUGAGUGGCUUGAGUACGAGAGAGGUGAGUGGAAUUCCCAGUGUAGAGGUGAAAUUCGUAGAUAUUGGGAAGAACACCAGUGGCGAAGGCGGCUCACUGGCUCGUAACUGACGCUCAGGCGCGACAGCGUGGGGAUCAAACAGG